rnacentral:rRNA from 1 species
GACGAACGCUGGCGGCGUGCUUAACACAUGCAAGUCGAACGGUAAGGCCCUUCGGGGUACACGAGUGGCGAACGGGUGAGUAACACGUGGGUGAUCUGCCCUGCACUUCGGGAUAAGCCUGGGAAACUGGGGCUCAUACCGGAUAGGACCCUGGGAUGCAUGUCCUGGGGUGGAAAGCUUUUGCGGUGUGGGAUGGGGCCGCGGCCUAUCAGUUUGUUGGUGGGGUGAUGGCCUACCAAGGCGACGACGGGUAGCCGGCCUGAGAGGGUGACCGGCCACACUGGGCCUGAGAUACGGCCCAGACUCCUACUGGAGGCAGCAGUGGGGAAUAUUGCACAAUGGGCGCAAGCCUGAUGCAGCGACGCCGCGUGAGGGAUGACGGCCUUCGGGUUGUAAUCCUCUUUCAGCACCGACGAAGCGCAAGUGACGGUAGGUGCAGAAGAAGGACCGGCCAACUACGUGCCAGCAGCCGCAGUAA